UUUGAUUUUACUGUAUAACUUG
rnacentral:siRNA from 1 species